UUAUAUACUCUAUCUUGGCACUAUCUCUAACCAAUGUGGAACUUGGGUUGUCAUCCACGCACCAAGCCCAAAAGGGCUGGGCAUGAGGGGGUGUAUUGGGAAAAACCCAAGUCCCACAUUAGCUGGAGAUAAGGAUAAGAUAGAGUAUAUAAG
rnacentral:pre_miRNA from 1 species